ACAAAAAGAAAGAGGGUGCGCCCAAAAAUUGGGUGCCCCUUGUCUUGCCAUGUUUGGAGAAUCCUUGACUAGGUAUUUGACCUAGUCAAGGACUCUAUCAUAUCUCUCUAUUUAAAAUAAAUUUCUUCAUAAAAUUUUCAUAAAAAAUAGAGAAAGGAGAGACCUUUGGGGAAUGCAAUAAUUAGGGAGAGAGAAGGUUGGGGCG
rnacentral:lncRNA from 1 species